CCUACGGGAGGCUGCAGUGGGGAAUAUUGCACAAUGGGCGCAAGCCUGAUGCAGCCAUGCCGCGUGUGUGAAGAAGGCCUUCGGGUUGUAAAGCACUUUCAGCGGGGAGGAAGGCGUUAAGGUUAAUAACCUUGGCGAUUGACGUUACCCGCAGAAGAAGCACCGGCUAACUCCGUGCCAGCAGCCGCGGUAAUACGGAGGGUGCAAGCGUUAAUCGGAAUUACUGGGCGUAAAGCGCACGCAGGCGGUCUGCCAAGUCGGAUGUGAAAUCCCCGGGCUCAACCUGGGAACUGCAUUCGAAACUGGCAGGCUAGAGUCUUGUAGAGGGGGGUAGAAUUCCAGGUGUAGCGGUGAAAUGCGUAGAGAUCUGGAGGAAUACCGGUGGCGAAGGCGGCCCCCUGGACAAAGACUGACGCUCAGGUGCGAAAGCGUGGGGAGCAAACAGGAUUAGAUACCCCAGUAGUC
rnacentral:rRNA from 1 species